rnacentral:rRNA from 1 species
GACGAACGCUGGCGGCGUGCCUAAUACAUGCAAGUCGAACGCUUCUUUCCUCCCGAGUGCUUGCACUCAAUUGGAAAGAGGCGUGGCGGACGGGUGAGUAACACGUGGGUAACCUACCCAUCAGAGGGGGAUAACACUUGGAAACAGGUGCUAAUACCGCAUAACAGUUUAUGCCGCAUGGCAUAAGAGUGAAAGGCGCUUUCGGGUGUCGCGGGUGGAGGGACCCGCGGAGCAUUAGCUAGUUGGUGAGGUAACGGCUCACCAAGGCCACGAUGCAUAGCCGACCUGAGAGGGUGAUCGGCCACACUGGGACUGAGACACGGCCCAGACUCCUACGGGAGGCAGCAGUAGGGAAUCUUCGGCAAUGGACGAAAGUCUGACCGAGCAACGCCGCGUGAGUGAAGAAGGUUUUCGGAUCGUAAAACUCUGUUGUUAGAGAAGAACAAGGACGUUAGUAACUGAACGUCCCCUGACGGUAUCUAACCAGAAAGCCACGGCUAACUACGUG